UACGUUGGGUGCGAGCGUUAAUCGGAAUUACUGGGCGUAAAGCGUGCGCAGGCGGUUUUGUAAGCCAGGUGUGAAAUCCCCGGGCUCAACCUGGGAAUGGCAUUUGGGACUGCAAGGCUGGAGUGUGGCAGAGGAGACUGGAAUUCCUGGUGUAGCAGUGAAAUGCGUAGAUAUCAGGAGGAAUACCGAUGGCGAAGGCAGCCCCCUGGGUCAAGACUGACGCUCAUGCACGAAAGCGUGGGGAGCAAACAGG
rnacentral:rRNA from 1 species